UGGGGAAUAUUGCACAAUGGGGGGAACCCUGAUGCAGCAAUGCCGCGUGGGUGAAGAAGCACUCCGGUGCGUAAAGCCCUGUCAGCAGGGAAGAAAAUGACAGUACCUGGACAAGAAGCCCCGGCUAACUACGUGCCAGCAGCCGCGGUAAUACGUAGGGGGCAAGCGUUAUCCGGAUUUACUGGGUGUAAAGGGAGCGCAGGCGGCGUGGCAAGUCAGAUGUGAAAACCCGGGGCCCAACCCCGGGAGUGCAUUUGAAACUGCCAUGCUGGAGUGCCGGAGAGGUAAGCGGAAUUCCUAGUGUAGCGGUGAAAUGCGUAGAUAUUAGGAGGAACACCAGUGGCGGAGGCGGCUUACUGGACGGUAACUGACGCUGAGGCUCGAAAGCGUGGGGAGCAAA
rnacentral:rRNA from 1 species